GAUUUUUCAAAAUGAAUAAUUUUUUAAUAAGUUGUAAACUUUUUUGUGUCAACAAUGGAAGCUUCAAUUUAAUGCUUUCAAUUUUUAUUGGGAAAUAUCUUUAGAAUGGUCUCUCAGUUAAAUUUAAAGAUGUUGUUUAUCUUAGUUCAUCUUAAGUGAUUUUCUUGAAUAUAAGUGUUCUGGCUGGGUGAUAUGAAUUGUGUUGAGCCAAAGCUGGCUUCCUUUUAGGUGGGACAAGAAAAUGUGCAAGAAAAGGAAAGGAAUGCUUGGAUAAUGGUUGUCUCCUUUGGAAUCUGAUGAUGGUGCAAUUUUUCCCCCAGGCUAUAUUUUGGAGAAGUACAGUAGAUAAGGAAGGAGAGAAAAAGAUGAAAAGGUAAUUCUCUUCAGAGACUCUUCUAGAUUCUUGUGUGAGCUCUGUUGUUCUAUGGUGGGACAAUCAAACAUGCCACUGAGAAAGUUAUUCUCUUUACCUUUGCUCAGAACCAUGUGCUGUCAGUGGCAUCUGAGAAGAAUGUCUGUUAUCACUGGUUAGUAUACUUGGCAUGCAGGUUGCCAGGUUUGCUUAUGAACACACAUAAGGUAUCUGUUUUGGGCUGAAUUUUGUCUCUUAAAAAUUCAUACAGCCGGAUGCAUGCCUGUAAUCCCAGCGGCUUGAGAGGCUGAGGCAUGAAGAAUGCGAGUUCAAAGCCAGCUUCAGCAAUGGGAUGUGCUAAGCAACUCAGUGAGACCCUGUUUCUAAAUAAAAUACAAAAUAGGACUGGGGAUGUGGCUCAGUGGUCGAGUGCUUCUGAGUUCAAUCCUAGAUACCCCCACCAAAUAAAUUCAUAUGUUGAAGCCCUCUCCCAGCACCUCAAAAUGUUACUGUAUUUGAAUAUAUGGUCUUCCAAGAGGUAAUAAAGUUAAAAUGAGGUAAAUAGCGUGGGCGCUAAUCUAACAUGGCCAGCAUCAUCAUCAGAAGAAAUUAGGAUGAAGACACAAAGGGAAGACCAUGUAAAGGCAGAAGAAGAUGCCCAUUUAUGAGCCAAGGAGAGAGGCCUUAGAAGAAAUUAACCCUACUGCCACCUUGACCUUAUACUUUCAGCCUCCAGAAUUGUGAGAAAAUAAGUUUCAAUUGAAGCUGUCCAGUUUGUGGUAUUUUAUUGUGGCAGCUGUAGCAGACAAAUACAGCAUUCAUUUGGGGAUCCCCAGAAGUAAUUGUAGUGGAAAGCAUUUUGCCAAGGAGUUACCACUAGGAUAGUGAAGAUUCAAGCCAUUAUAAUAGUUAUAAGUUCAUGAGGCCUAGCCAUUUGAAUUAUAGUCAGAACCCUAUGAAUUCCCACAGCAUAGAAAUUCCAAUAGUAAUUAGAAGGUUGACUUCUAACUCCUUCUGUCUUUGCUCAUCUUAGGAAAAUCUAUUUUUAAAAUUAGGUUUAUUCCCUCAUUGUUAUACAAAAUUACAUAUAAGAGGUUGUGAGGGGAAUGGGAAAAUAAACAAGGAGAGAUAUGAAUUAGAGUGGAUGGGGUAGAGAGAGAAGAUG
rnacentral:lncRNA from 1 species